GGAUGGCUCCGGUGGCCUAAGUGCUAAGAGCGUCCGCCUUGGAUGCGGAAGGUCGUAGGUUGCAACCUAGGCCGAGUCAUACUUAAGACU